rnacentral:rRNA from 1 species
CGUGCUAGGUAGCGCAAUCACUUGUCUUUUAAAUGAAGACCUGUAUGAAUGGCAUAACGAGGGCUUAACUGUCUCCCUUUUCCAGUCAAUGAAAUUGAUCUCCCCGUGCAGAAGCGGGGAUUAAAACAUAAGACGAGAAGACCCUAUGGAGCUUUAGACAAAGAGCAGACCAUGUUAAACACACCUAAAUAAAGGACAAAACCAAUUGGCCCCUGCCCUUAUGUCUUUGGUUGGGGCGACCGCGGGGAAACAAAAAACCCCCAUGUGGACUGAAGACAUUCCUCUUCACAACCAAGAGCCACAGCUCUAAGCAACAGAACAUCUGACCAACAAGAUCCGGCACUAAGCCGAUCAACGGACCGAGUUACCCUAGGGAUAACAGCGCAAUCUCCUUUUAGAGCCCCCAUCGACAAGGAGGUUUACGACCUCGAUGUUGGAUCAGGACAUCCUAAUGGUGCAGCCGCUAUUAAGGGUUCGUUUGUUCAACGAUUAAAGUCCUACGUGAUCUGAGUUCAGACCGGAGCUCCCGUGUUUAUCAAAAAUAUAUUCG